UGGACAAUGGGCGCAAGCCUGAUCCAGCCAUUCCGCGUGAGUGAAGAAGGCCUUCGGGUUGUAAAGCUCUUUCGCAAGGGAAGAAAACUUAGGCUCUAACAUAGCCUGAGGUUGACGGUACCUUGAUAAGAAGCACCGGCCAACUACGUGCCAGCAGCCGCGGUAAUACGUAGGGUGCGAGCGUUAAUCGGAAUUACUGGGCGUAAAGCGUGCGCAGGCGGUUUUGUAAGUCAG
rnacentral:rRNA from 1 species